AUUGAACGCUGGCGGCAGGCUUAACACAUGCAAGUCGAACGGUAACAGGAAGCAGCUUGCUGCUUCGCUGACGAGUGGCGGACGGGUGAGUAAUGUCUGGGAAGCUGCCUGAUGGAGGGGGAUAACUACUGGAAACGGUAGCUAAUACCGCAUAAUGUCGCAAGACCAAAGAGGGGGACCUUCGGGCCUCUUGCCAUCGGAUGUGCCCAGAUGGGAUUAGCUUGUUGGUGGGGUAACGGCUCACCAAGGCGACGAUCCCUAGCUGGUCUGAGAGGAUGACCAGCCACACUGGAACUGAGACACGGUCCAGACUCCUACGGGAGGCAGCAGUGGGGAAUAUUGCACAAUGGGCGCAAGCCUGAUGCAGCCAUGCCGCGUGUAUGAAGAAGGCCUUCGGGUUGUAAAGUACUUUCAGCGGGGAGGAAGGGAGUAAAGUUAAUACCUUUGCUCAUUGACGUUACCCGCAGAAGAAGCACCGGCUAACUCCGUG
rnacentral:rRNA from 1 species